rnacentral:rRNA from 1 species
CAGUAGCCACGGGAAUACGGAGGGUGCAAGCGUUAAUCGGAAUUACUGGGCGUAAAGCGCACGCAGGCGGUCUGACAAGUCAGAUGUGAAAUCCCCGGGCUUAACCUGGGAACUGCAUUUGAAACUGUCAGGCUGGAGUCUUGUAGAGGGGGGUGGAAUUCCAGGUGUAGCGGUGAAAUGCGUAGAGAUCUGGAGGAAUACCGGUGGCGAAGGCGGCCCCCUGGACAAAGACUGACGCUCAGGUGCGAAAGCGUGGGGAGCAAACAGGAUUAGAGACCCGUGUAGUCCCUGUCUCUUAUAC